CAUCUUCUUUCUCUUUCUUGUGA
rnacentral:piRNA from 1 species